CUUCCAAACUGCUGGGAUUACAGGCGUGAGCCACCACACCCAGCCUAGAUAUGCACAUAUUAAUAGAAGUAGAUAUUUAUAUUCAGCAUCAAAAUUAUUCCCCUGAAAAGGUGAAGAAUGAGAAAAUGUUUACAUUUCCCUUGUUCUUUGUCACUUAUAUUACCUGAGAUUUGAAAUUUUAUAUGCAGAAUUUUACUUUUAUAUUUCGUUAUUAUUUCAACCUAAUGUCAUGUUUAGCUUCAUUGUUUGCUGGCUGUUAUUGUUAUACUCCUUCCCCGACCAUGCUUUUAGUAAUAUUUUUGGAAGGAUCACUGUGGGUCUUUUCCCCUUUCUUUUAGAAAGCAUUUUGACUGGAAACUGGAGAUCAGACUAUUCUUUGUUAAAUCAGAAGAACUGUUCAACUAACUGUCCUUUUAUCAUCAAUGUUUAGUACUUUUCCCGGCACUAGAGGUUCCCUAGCAAAUGUUUAUUGAAAGGAUUAUUCGAUGUUUCUGGAAGACCAGAUGUUGAACUACCAGGAUGUGUCAAAUGAAUGCCAUACUUAGGAUCUUCCCAAGUGGAGCUCUGACUUUUGAAAGACACGCACACAGAAAAGAACAACAACAAGACAAUAGCAAUAAUGUGAAGUAAUGUACGUGUUAAUUAGCUUGAUUAUGAACAUGAUAACACAUGUAGAGCAGAGCACUGUGUACCAGUUACUAAUGCCAGAAGAGGACUCUCACAAUAUGGAGGAUAAUGAAGAUCAUCACAAUACCAGCCACCAG